AAUGGUUCAUUAAUCCAUUGAGCCUGCAAAUCAGAAACCAAAUUUCAGUCAAUGACGACAUUUACAAUGUACAAAUGGGAUUAAUUGCGUUCUACCACCUUGACUUUGACUGCUUGAUAGGUUAUUUCACACAAAUUUAUGAUCUUAAUUUAGUUUCUAUUCUGCCACAGUUACAGUACACUCCCUCCACUUUUCAAUUUUGGGAACCCAAAACUAAUAUUCAGUUCUCUAUCAGGUUAACUAGUAUUCUGGUUGCAGGAUAAUAAAUAGCAAUCUAAUAUCUGUUGCUUUAGGAUUCUCAUUUUGAUUAGAAAGCAAAUAGGACUUGCUUAUGCUUAGAUGAUAAUU
rnacentral:misc_RNA from 1 species